rnacentral:misc_RNA from 1 species
GAAAUGCGAUACUUGGUGUGAAUUGCAGAAUCCCGUGAACCAUCGAGUCUUUGAACGCAAGUUGCGCCCGAAGCCAUUAGGCCGAGGGCACGCCUGCCUGGGUGUCACACAUCGUUUCCCCAACGCAAACAUCACACCAAGUAUC